rnacentral:rRNA from 1 species
UCGUAACAAGGUUUCCGUAGGUGAACCUGCGGAAGGAUCAUUAUAGAUUACGAGUUGAUGGCUGAGGGGUAGGACGUUGUGAGCAAAUGCGUAAGCAUUAUGCGUGCAACAUUCUACUUUUCUUUCACAACAAAUAUGUUCGAUGUUGGGAUUGUGGUGGUGUCAUGAUAGUGAUAUUGUGAUACUAUUAUAAUUUGCACACAUUGCUACACUUGCUUAUUCAUGUUUGUCAAAGUAAAACUACCAAUAUAUUAUAACUUUUAACAAUGGAUCUCUUGGCUCUUGCAACGAUGAAGAACGCAGUUAAUUGCGAUAAUUAGUGCGAUUUGCAUGAAUCUGUGAGUCAUCUAGUAUUUGAACGCAACUUGCGCCUGGAGACAGGCAUGACUGUUUGAGAGCGGUUUUAAUCGUGUUGAGGUGAUUGCUCGAGGAGUAUAUCUAGAGCAAUUGCUGACACAAGUUGNCCGUGUUGUAAACUCGGUUUGAAAGUAGCAAGCAAAGGGUAUAGGAUAGAAUGCCAGUGAGCUAGAAGGACGAAGGAUAGUAAUAUCUGGGUCUUUUGUCACUUGGGUUCUUUCCUAGUCCGAUGGAAUGNNGUGGAAGUGNGAUUUCAUCUUCAUCUUCAUCCUCAUCAAACCUCCUACACGCUCAAAUCAGUCAGACUACCCGCUGAACUUAAGCAUAUCAGUAAGCGGAGGAAAAGAAACUAACAAGGAUUCCUUCAGUAACGGCGAGUGAAGUGGGAAGAGCUCAAAGUUAGAAUCGGGAUAGUGUCUAUUUCGAAUUGUAAACUAAAGAAGGAGAUUAGGGGGUUUGGAGAUUGUCCAAGUCCAUUGGAACAUGGCACCAGAGAGGGUGAGAGUCCCGUCAAUCAAUCAACAAACCUCCAACUCUUUUCUACGAGUCGAGUUGUUUGGGAAUGCAGCUCAAAGCGGGUGGUAAAUCUCAUCCAAGGCUAAAUAUUGGCAAGAGACCGAUAGCGAACAAGUACCGUGAGGGAAAGAUGAAAAGCACCUUGAAAAGGGAGUUAAAAAGUGCGUGAAAUUGUUAAAAGGGAAACGAUCUGGGUCAGUGUUUGUGGUUGUGAUGUGGUAGGGUUUCGGUUCUACCAUACAUUACAUUCACAGAGUCAAUGUCAGUUAUGGUUGGUGGAUAGAUGAUUGAGAAAGGUGGGCACGAGCAAUCUUGUCUUUAUAGUCUCAAUUAAACGCAUUUGCCGUGACUGAAAGGUUGUUUUGGAGUUGGUUGAUUUCUAGUUUUGGUUUGCGAGACAACUUGUUGAUUCUCAUCCCAAUCCCAUAAUGACGCCAACCACACAACAUCCGCUUUUGACGAAAUGGCCUCGAACGACC